rnacentral:rRNA from 1 species
UGAAUACGAGAUGCUACGGCGUCGAAGCAGUCUAUGUCAUACUUCCAAGAAAAGCUCGCACUGUCAUAAACAAAUAAUGCCUGUACCAUAACCGACACAGGUGGGUAGGUAGAGUAUACUAAGGGGCGCGAGAUAACUCUCUCUAAGGAACUCGGCAAAAUGACUCCGUAACUUCGGGAGAAGGAGUGCCUUAUUUAUAAGGUUGCAAUAACAAGAUCCAAGCAACUGUUUAUCAAAAACACAGGUCUCCGCUAAGUCGUAAGACGAUGUAUGGGGGCUGACGCCUGCCCAGUGCCAGAAGGUUAAAGAAGUUGGUUAGCAUUCGCGAAGCUGAUAACUGAAGCCCUGGUGAACGGCGGCCGUAACUAUAACGGUCCUAAGGUAGCGAAAUUCCUUGUCGGGUAAGUUCCGACCCGCACGAAAGGCGUAAUGAUUUGGAUACUGUCUCGGAGAGGGGCUCGGUGAAAUAGACUUGUCUGUGAAGAUGCGGACUACCUGCACCAGGACAGAAAGACCCUAUGAAGCUUUACUGUAACUUGAGAUUGAAAUUGGAUUUUACUUGCGCAGUAUAGGUGGGAGGCGUUGAUAAUAUUCUUGCGGGAUUAUUUGAGCCAUCAGUGAGAUACCACUCUUGUAAUGUUAGAUUUCUAACUUUGUAUCAUUAUCUGGUCAAAGGACAGUUUCAGGCGGGCAGUUUGACUGGGGCGGUCGCCUCCUAAACGGUAACGGAGGCGCACAAAGGUUUCCUCUGAACGGGUAGAAAUCGUAUCUAGAGUGUAAAGGCAUAAGGAAGCUUGACUGUGAGACCUACAAGUCGAGCAGGGACGAAAGUCGGUCUUAGUGAUCUGACGGUGCUGAGUGGAAAGGCCGUCACUCAACGGAUAAAAGUUACUCUAGGAUAACAGGCUGAUCUCCCCCAAGAGUUCACAUCGACGGGGAGGUUUGGCACCUCGAUGUCGGCUCAUCGCAUCCUGGGGUGGUAGUACGUCCCAAGGGUUGGGCUGUCCGCCCAUGAAAGCGGUACGCGAGCUGGGUUCAGAACGUCGUGAGACAGUUCGGUCCAUAUCCGGUGUAGGCGUUAGAAUAUUGAGAGGAGCCUUCUUUAGUACGAGAGGACCGAGAAGGACAUACCUCUGGUGUACCAGUUAUCGUGCCAACGGUAAACGCUGGGUAGCUAUGUAUGGAGUGGAUAACCGCUGAAAGCAUCUAAGUGGGAAGCCCACCUCAAGAUAAGUAUUCUCAUC